ensembl:lncRNA
GUGGAGAUCUCAAUCCAGUGUUCCCCAGUACCAACACUACCUCCAUCUACUCUGUCUGAUACAGAUCAAGACACAUCUGAUCUCUCUGGGACCGUGGACACAGAAUUGUCUGAGUGCAGGAAUGCGUCCACAUCAUCUGCCAACAACCACAGCCCAUAUCAGGGGGUAGGAAAUGAGAGUUCUCUUGGUAAGAGCAAGGGCGGGUGUAAGUGUUAGUGAAACACUCUGUGUCAAUUGAGUUGUUAAAAUGCUCCGUCUCAUUUCAAUCUCUUGUAUUGCCACAGGUGAGGAAAAUGAGACCCAGACCGUCAUGGAGGCCCUAUUUGUGAAUGAACUUGCCGAAGACGCCUCAGGUUUGGCGCCCCCUAGUGAUGACAAUAUGAAGUGCGCUUUGCCAGAGCUUAUGUUUCAAGCGCGAUCAGAGCAGUUAUCCAUUACAAAUGCACCUCUCCAAAGCAGUCUAUGUUCUGAGGUGUUUGAGGUACCUGCAGAUGAGUAUGUGCGUUAGUAAGGUGUCUUGACAAAUAAGAAAGGACUUAAAGAACAGGGAAAAGAGUGCAGGAAAGAAAAGUGAAUUUGUGGCACCACACACUGACAACUGGUUAAGAGGUAAUGAUCUAAUGUACCAAGUUUGAUCUGAAUUGGGAUUAUCUGAAAAUGUUUUGUCAAGAACACUUACUUGCAGAACAUGAAGAUCAAAAAAUUAAGUAAAAGCUUCUUUGUUGUCGUACAGGUGUUUAAGUAACAUUUACCAUACCUAAUAUAGAUUUAGUGCAAAUAUAAGUGUAUGCUCUCAGUUAUGUUUGAAAUGAAAUCAACUAUUUCAUUAGCCUUGUGCAAAAAAAAAGUUUUGACCUGCUGACUAUUGUUAUUUGAAGUGGUUUAGUGAACGGUGCAUAACAGUAGUUUAUGCCCAUACAAUGUAUAUUGAUGCCACAAAACAGAACGCAAUAUAUAUGCGUAGUGUUGCACAAAGUGCUUAAUUAUUGUAUUUAAAAUUUAAAAUACUUGAAACGUUUUGCCUUUGCUCUAGUUUGAGCCAAACUUGUACAAUGUAAGUUAUAUUACAUUAUGCUGCGCAGUAUUUCUUUGCACAAUAUGUAUGCACAUGGUAUAGUCAUGACAGUGAAGUGUUUAACCUACUGUUUAAUCUACUGUGAAAUGAAUCCAAACUUUCUGAAACUUAAUCAAAUCAUAUAACACUGCAUCUCUACAACUGAAACUGCUGCCCUUCAUAAUGCAUCAUAGUAUACCCACAAACACAAACAUCUUUCCCCCCAGUCAAGAUAUGAGACACAGAGCUGCUGGGUUGUUUUAUGUUCAUUUCCCCUUGGUCCCUCAUAAUGUAAUCAUGGUUGUGGCAAUCUUGUUUUAAAUACGUCAGCAGCACCCAAGCAACUCUUCUAUUGGACCCAGUUGUAGUAUGGCAGUGUUACUUUAUUCAUAAAUGCCAUGAAACUCCCCAGACCUGACAAUUCAUUAUUCAUCCCUGUCUUAUUGUUUUGUGUACAUGUGUACACGGUCACAAAUAUACAAGGACAGGUUUUUACCGAAUACCUGUUUAUAUCUUAAAACAUGUAGCAAGGAAAUGGAAC